GUUGAUUAGAGAGAAUAGCCUGAAUCAAGAUCUUACAGUCGCCUUCAAAGAUGACGCGAUUGUAUCCUCUUUCCACCGCCAUCUGAACGGCAUUUCUGCAAGCUAGACUUUCCAACACUAGUGGAUUCGAAACAUGGUAAUAUGAACGGCAACCCCAGUCCUUUAAAGCACCUGUAUGAUCUCGGAAAAUAACUGCCACUGAUCCCCUAUAUCGACUGGAAUCAACUGCUGCAUCAAAAUUGGCUUUCAAAAUAUUUGGUGGAAGAGGUGCCCAAGAGAUCUGUUGAGCACUUAGAGGAUUAGGAGGAUGCUGGUGAGGGGGUCUGGCU
rnacentral:misc_RNA from 1 species